CCGCCCGCUGCCGCCGGGUCGUUACGACGCGGCGCUGCCAGCUUUACGGCAGCACGCAGCGACCGGCCGGUGCCGGCACCGCGGAGGGCAGAGCGGGCGAUGCGGCGGCAGCUUUUGAAGUUUGCUGGAGUGCU
rnacentral:lncRNA from 1 species